GACGCAUUUGUUUCUCAAUCUUGGUCGUGUGAACCCUUCUCAACCACUCAAUCUCUAAUUCUUAUCCGUUUCUCCCUUUCUUCCCCCUUCACCUCCUGUGGAACUCCUCUCCUCCACAGACGAGACAAAUUCCAAACCCUAAUCAGCAGACGAGAAGAAAACAAAAUCAAUUAGCAGAUCGAAAACCCAGAAAUCAAAAUCAAUUAACAGAUCGAAAAAUCAAAAUCAAUUAACAGAUCGAAAAAUCAACAACAUACAAAAACAAAUGACGUCGAGGCUCCAAUGACGAGACCAAUUCCAAACCCUAAUCAGCAAACCCAGAAAACAAAAUAAUUAGUAGAUCGAAAAAUCGACAACAUACAAAAACAAUGUCAAUGGAGAUAGCAUCCUUUACCCCUUUCUUUCAGUAGCUUUUCAAAAUCAAGUAAAUUCGUUAACCCUAAUGAUGACAGGGUAUAUAUUGUCUAAAUCUGGAUGAAGAAGAAGAAGAAGAACUCAGGGAGGACAUGGAAUGGUUGAUGAAGAACUCAGGGAGGAGAUGGAAAUCCAAAUGAGCGUUUCUGCGCUUCAACUGAAAACAGAGAUGGGUUCGAUUGAUUGCCUCAGAUGGAUAAUAGUAGACAUGAGCAGAUUUAUGAAGAAUUAUCGAUGGUUUGUUUUUGAGCUUAGAGAUGAAAUUUAGGGUUUAAUUACUGAGAAUCGAGAGAUGAUUGAGAAGAAUUAGGUGAUGGGUUUCUGUGGUUGUUCUUCAAGGGUGAGAACUGGUGUUGUUUUGAUGGGGUUGAUAAAGAACUGAAAGUGCUUAGAAAGAGAGACGGCUGCGAAAUAAAGUUGGAGAUGCAGAAAUUCACUCAAUAAAAUCAAGGGGAAGCCGUUGCUGAAGAACUAGAUAUCAUCUGUUAAUUGAAUAUGAGAAGAGAUGCUUAGAUUUUUCCUAGAGGAAGCCCCAAAUAAGUUAUGGGUAAAUUCUCCACUUUACAACCAAGAAAAUGCGCAAGGUUAUCAAUAUCAGGGACGUGCCCAACAUGAAUCAUAGUCGUUUUGUGAAAGUUUACCUUAAAACCUGAAACGAUCUCAAACCAUAAAAGAUUAUCAGGGACGAAGUAAAAAUAGUUAGUGCAUCCUCUUCGCCUUUGUUGUUGAUGAAAGGGGUCUUUCAAAAAAUUUCUCUGGAGCAAGUCAGUUGGAAGGAGGUGAUUUUCGAACCACCUUAAGUUGUCCACUGUGGGUUGUCCUUCGUAUUUGUUUCAGGUGUGCUCCCUUUGUUUUGGAGUUUUUCUUUGUGUUGAUAGCUUUUUGGAGUUUUUCUUUGGAUUGGUAGCUUUUCUGGCUUCUUUUUUUUUUUUUGGUCGUGAGCGUCAGGGAUCAUAAAAUGUUUAAUUUACCGAUCAAAAAAAAAGACAAAAAAAAGAUGGAGUAUAAACUUUCAUUAACAAUUUGCUCGUUGCAAUUCAAAACCAUGGAAACUAUCACAUAUUUUAUUCUCGCGGAGUCGUAAG